rnacentral:rRNA from 1 species
UACGUAGGGUGCGAGCGUUAAUCGGAAUUACUGGGCGUAAAGCGUGCGCAGGCGGUGAGCUGUGUCCGAUGUGAAAGCCCCGGGCUUAACCUGGGAAUGGCAUUGGAAACUGGCUCGCUGGAGUGUGGCAGAGGGGGGUGGAAUUCCGCGUGUAGCAGUGAAAUGCGUAGAGAUGCGGAGGAACACCGAUGGCGAGGGCAGCCCCCUGGGCUAACACUGACGCUCAGGCACGAAAGCGUGGGGAGCAAACAGG